UUUCGUCUGGCAUAAAACAGAAAGUUUUGGUACAAAGUGUAUUUAAGCAAAUCCUAGAAUAUUUUGAAAUCAAAAACAACGAACUAAUAAAAAAAAUAAAUAUGGAUAGACAUUCAGGCGAAUCGUUGAAUUUCAACACCAUUGUUCCACAGAUGUGCCAAUUGUUUCCUUCGGAGAGCUCCGUACGACAAGAAAAAAAAGCUUAGCUUGCAAUACUUGAAAUUUGUUGGUUCCAUACAUGCUUCUGGGAUAUCAUUAAAAACAGAUUCUCUACUCCAACACUCGAAUAGCCUCGACGGGAGAAAAGCAUGUAUUUAUUCAUCAUUAUGAACCCCUUUUACAGUGCACACUGAUUCGUCAAGCGCACAUGUAGUCGUGCGUAUAAGUUAACACAUGAACACAAUGAAUGUCUUUCUACCUAAACAUCGUCAGAACAGGAUCUUCUUGGUGGUGGUUGUAUGCCAAACGUGGGAAGAGCAACGGAAAAGGCGGCAAUUUUAGUGCCAUUCAAAAUAGUUCUCCGGGCGAAUGUAAACCGUUCUAUAAUUCAGCUGUAAACUGGACAAUAACAAACAGCAUUCACAACGAGUGAGCAUGGACGGCGGAUCGGUUUGUCUUCGUUGGGACGAUCACCAGUGUGCCCUGGCUGUUACGUUCCCGGCUUUAUUGCAAAAACAGGCACUCAUCGAUUGUACAUUGGCAGCCGAAGGACAAUUCCUACCUGCUCACAAAAUCGUCCUAUCAGCGUGCAGUCCCUAUUUUGAGGCUCUUGUGUCUCGAAACUACGAUAAACAUCCCAUCUUCCUUCUCAAGGAUGUUAAGUUCGAUGAUCUUCGCGCUAUAGUUGAUUACAUGUACCGGGGAGAAGCGAACAUCGCGCAGAAUAACUUGUCCUCAUUUCUUCAAACGGCUGAAUUUCUGGAAAUUAAAGGAUUGUCUGAAUGUAAGAAUUUUAUGGAGUCUGAAAACGCAUUAACGAAGAAUUUGAUGCCCACAGUGAAUAAAACCACGCAUUUGGGUGUCGAGAACAAAAUACUUGUAAAAUCAGUCCCGUUAGUGUCGAGUACCCCGCUAGCUCAGAAACGAAGGAGAACGCAGAGCCUUUUUAUUGACAGUGGUUCUCCAAUUAACACCGAAUUUCAGCAAUCACAAACUAUAAAACAAUCUGAGUCAAAUCGGGAGAAAAAAUCAGUUCCGGCCAAUAUCGCGUUAAAACUCGCGUCAAAUACUGUAAAGCCGUUAUCGUCUCGUAAUGUCCAAGCAAAAGUGCUACCUACAAUCCAGGAUAAAAUUAAUAAUACAAAAAAACCAAAAAAUAUGUUGUCGCCAACAUCUCAACGACAUUCACCAAGAAUACAGAAGAAAAAAUGCGACACACAACCAAGAACUCAGCGGCUGGGGGAAAAUUCUGCCGAAAAAAUUUCAACCGUCCAAUCGCUCAAACCAGCAAAGUCACUUAAACGGUCAGCUUCCUCGAAUCUGUUCGAGAUAAAGAUUGAACCGGAACCUGUGCUUUAUAACAGUACGGCAGGAAUAAUCAACCAAUCCAAGGUGCUGGAAAUGGCACGCGAAACGGAUACAAUCCUAGAGCCGAAAGUUGUGGCCAGAGAUGACGGUCAGAUAAGGUUCGUUUGUCCGCAAUGUGGAUCCCAGUUCUCGACAAAAUCUGCAGCUCGGAUUCAUAUGAGACACGGCCACAAAGCGCAAAACGCAGGAGCGCAGUGUUCACGUGCGUCCAACGUAAACAAACCUCAGACCAAUGUUACCAGUCAUCUCAGGACGUACCAGAGAAAAUGCGAUCCAGAGGAAAUCAAUUUUAGAUGUUAAUUAUUUUAUGUUUGUGUUUAUGAGAAAAAAUAUAGCAUUUUUUCUGAAAAUUUUUGUAUCGUAUAUAAUGUGAUAUUAAGUGUUAUGUAGCGAUCAGUUAUGUGUUAUGUUAUACUCUAAUAAUUUAACAAAGAGAUGUAACUAUACAGCCAUUCCAUGCCAAACCGAUGGUUCUCAGAUAUCGUGAAAAGGUGUAUAUUCCUUCUUUAUCGCAUAAAAUUAGACCCGUAUUUUUUAUUUUUAUAUUAGGGAUUUUCAUUUUAGCGUGGUCCGAAUAAUUCAUUUUUCUCCUUUUUUUUCCCAAAAACGACUUUCGAAAAUUCAUAACUAUU